GUUUUGGGGGACUUAGUAGAGAGGUUGGGUCGUUGUGAAAAUGUUUUUAAAAGCUAGAUUUUUAUUCUUCUACUGUAGGAUUAGUUUAAUGGGAUAUUGUAGAAAUGUAGGAUAUAAGUAGUAGGAGUCGAAAGCCGUUAAGUAUUGUAAGCUGAAUUUUAUUACGCCGUGAGCAGCGGAUUCAUGCCAAGAUGGCCGUCAUCGCCCGGUUGACGAAAACUGCAGACAUCUCCCAAGUCGUGUAAUAUUUGAGGAGUUUUGAUUUAUUUUGCUUCAAUCAUCACCGCCGCCGCCGUUGUCCCACACAAUGUUCAGCAUCCAAGCAGGGCGUAUGAUUGCAGCUACUCUGUAGUAAUACAUAUUGGCUUAUAAUCAAGUCGAUAAUAAGGCGCGUUAAUAGUCGUCAGGACCAGGCGGCGCUAAAUCAAUUUUUUUGAAAACUAAGAUGAUCUAUUUAGGUCGAGUCGGAGCUUACCGGUCGGUUUAUUGGAAGGAGGAUUUUUAGUUAGGAGUCUGGGUAGGAAUUUUCCGUAUCCAGUAGAGAUUGGAGGCCAUAGAUCGUGAAUAAGUCGGCUAUCUGAACAGAAUAUUGCAGUACGAUAGAUAAAUACAAAAAUAACUGUUUGAAAAGAGAAAUACAUAUUAAAAUAAACAUGGAACGAUAUUAGAAUAUACUGAAUGUUCACUUUCCACAAAAUACAUUAGAAUGUAAUAGUUAAAACUACCUUUGAACAAUAAAGACAAUCCAUCAUGAGGUUAAUUUAUUUUGCCUUGUAUCCUGUUCGGGAAAGUAAGAUGUGAGUUUGAAGUCGAUACGUUUUCGAUUCGUUUCGCUGUUUGGUGUUAUGUUAGCGGCAGAAAUAUUUGCGUGUACCCAGGAUUAAGUAGAUUAUUGUCAGUUUCAUAUGCACAGAGGUAAAACCUUGAUAUAUAUAUAAAAAUUGAAUACAAAUAUUAUCAAAAAUAUUGCUUUUCUUUAUUUUUUACCCUUAUUUUCCAUAGUUAAGACAUCAAAACUAAUAAUAUAAGCAAAAACACUGGUAACUGGCAAGGAUUUAGAUUGUCUAUGGCCAUCCUAAUUGUGAAAAUUGUCAUUGAUAGCUUGUAGUUGUUUCGUAGUUAGUUGCAAUUCUCGAACGAAAUGUAGUUGUAUAUAAAAUGUGGUAAUUUCUUUUUGGUCACAGGAAUGGUGAUGUUUGUUGAACAAUGUCUGAAACUAGGACAGGUUUUAGCAUUUUUUUGAUACAAUGGAAAGUCAUUUAAAUAUCGGGAUAGAUAAUACUAAUCACAAGACAAUUUACAAGAGAGAGAUUCCUUAAAAUGCUAGUCAAAAGUUAAAGGAGUAUUGUUCUCAAUUUUAAAAUAAAGCAAUCAAGUUUGCUAACGUUAAUAAUCAAAUGUAAAUCUUAUGAGGAACGGAUAAUGAUCAAAUAGAUCAUAAAAAAGAAAUAACGAAAAAUCUUGUACAGAAAGAUACUAAACACUUUUACAUAACGAAGUUAUUGUUAUGUAAUUACCUAAAUUAUCAUAAUAAGCAUAUAAAGAAGCAAGUAAAUAGUUCUAAAAACUCAUUGUAUGAACGAAAUCUUAACUUACAUGAAACGAAAUUAGAAAAAAGAUAAUUGCGCCCCAUAGAACAAUACAACUUAUAUUCCAGAUAAAAUGCUUUCAAAAAGCGAAGAAGGAAGAUAUAUAUAUAUAUUUAUUCAUAUUUAUAUAUUUAUUAUAUACGAAAAAAAUACUUACGUUUCAUCAUAAUUCUUUUCUACUAUAGCUUUUUUUACAGGUUUACUUUUAAAUAUAAAUUAAUUAAUAUUAAAGAGUAAAUAUUAAUCGGAAAAUUAUUCGGUCGUUAUAAAACGAAUUCAAGGGUUAAAAUUAUAGGUUAACGAUAAGAAGCACUAUUGGCUUAAUUUUUCGGAUUUACUGCGCCUGCUCAAAAACGUAUUUUAUUUACAUUUAAUAUGAGUACCUACAACGGAAUAUUUUGCGGGAUUAACAUCACGGAUCUAAGGAUGGAGUAUAAAUACACAAAUGUAUGUAUGUAUUAUUAAAAUUGUAUAUAACAAUUCGUCCACGACAAACAACCAUAAAUCGGUUAUAACGUUGAGCCCAAAAAGCUCUAAUUGUGAUGACAUAAUUCUAUUUGUAUUUGAAUUAAGCGUUCAUAUAACAAUUGGAUAUGAUCUGCACUUAUAACAAUGUUUUUUUUUACUUUUAAAUCAACAGUACGUAACGUUAUGUAUACUUCAGGUUUGGAAGCUUAUCUAUAUAUUAAAGAUUUCGUGCAAAAUUUUCAUGAAGAUAUAUUUUACAUCGCGUUUUUAAUUCGUUCAUUUAUGUUCUGUUUGAAUAUUAAUCAUGUAAAUAUAAGGUUGAUUAUUCCAAAUUUUCUAUGAAAUUUUUAUAGGUAUGUGGGAGGUUAUGUACAUUAUGAAAAGGGUUUGUUCGUUUCGCUGUAUUGUGUAAAUUUUGGUAUAUUUCUUAAAUUAUUAAUUUAAUUUAAAUAGCGCGUUAAUGUAGUGUUUUAUUCUCUCAAAUUUUUUAUCCUAGUAAAAUAGCAAUAUUUGUUGAUCGCGUCAUUAAAAUGAUAUAAAUUCUAAAUUACAGUUAUUAUAAAUUACAGUUAUAAAUAAUACAGCUAUAAAUAAUACAGCUAUAAAUAAUACAGCUAUAAAUAAUACAGCUAUAAAUAAUACAGCUUGUGUUACACUAAUUAUAAAAAUGGUUUUCUUACGUUUUAAUUAAUUGGAGUGCGUUAUGUUAACAUGUUGCUAGAUUUUUCCCAAAAUGUCUAGGUCCUUAGGUCUGUUCACUGCAAAUCCUUAUGUUUGCUUUAGUCCUUUUAAAUAAGCACUAACGAAAUAGUGUUUGUAUCAAAGUUUUUAAUACUUUUGUUUAUUGAUUUCCAAUCGUCAUACUUCAUGUGGGUUUUGCAUAGGAUUCUAAAGUUUCCGAACAUAAACGAAUAUCUGUAAGAUUUUUUUUGUAUUAAACUUAAUAAUUUAAGACUUCGUUUUAAAGUAUUAUUGUGACCUAUUACUUGAUUUGUAUAAUACGUAUGACCUUUUAACAACAUUUACUCAAUGAUUUAGUAACGUUGUCUUUUGUCAGUUAAAUUUAACUUUAGUUAGUAAAUCACUACAAUUUUAUGUAUCAACAUCGUCUUGUUUUACGUUGUUUUGUUUUUCGUGGUUUUUGUGUGUUGCUAAUAGAAUUUAUAUAGAAUUAAAUCUAAAACGACCGCUUUAAAUUGCAAGCGAGUUAAUAUUAGCUACGUCUUAACUAGUGCGCUAUCUCUAGCUAACCUCUGACCGCUGCCGCCAAAAACAUAUUUUCAUCUCCCAUUUCUAAAAACUAUAUGAAAAAUAAGAUUAAGGAAAGCGUAGCUAUGUAUAUCUGAAAGAUAUUUAGGCACUUUGUUUUUUAGGGUUGUUGGUGUGAUUGCAUUGAUGUUUUUCGCCAGCUAUUUGGGCCAUUUUAAAAUGGUUCCCAUAGUACUAUAGUUAUUUAUAACAUUGCUAAUUGUGCGUUAGCAAAGUUGUAUAAUUUUAUUUAGGUUUGCCAAUUUUUCCAUGAAAUUUAUUUUGUCAUUUGUACAAAAUAAAUUUAAUAGAGAUAGCCGGAGCUUAAUUUUCCAUAAUUUAGUCCUUUUAACUAUAAUAUGUUGCGGCUAUCUAGUUAUUUCUCAUACAUUAUUU